GAAAGUCUGGAGGUCUAGCAUCAGGGUUGUAGGAUAGGGGCUCCUAGAGUUUUACGUACUCCUCACCCGGGGUUGGGUGAGGCUUGGCAGUGCUACCCAUAGAUGAUUCGUGUUUUGGAUUGUGUCUAACUUAUGAUAGUUAUUUAUGGUAGUUACUGUAUGAUAUUAUUGCACGAUAUUUAUAUAUGGUUCUUAUGUUUAGAUAAUUAUUUACGUUAUUUCUGCUGGAGUUACUAAUGGUCUUUUGUUUUUGUUUUUGUUUUUACUUUCUUUCACUGAGCCGAGGGUCGAUUGGAAACAGUCUCUCUGCCCUUUCGGGUAGGAGUAAGGCUAGUCUACCUAUUACCUUCCCCAGACCUCACUUUGUGGGACUUGGAGUUACUAAUGCUCUUUUAUUUUUGUUUUUGUUUUUACUUUCUUUCACUGAGCCGAGGGUUGAUUGAAAACAGGCUCUCUGCCCUUUCGGGUAAGGGUAAGACUAAUCUACCUAUUACCCUCUCGAGACCCCACUUUGUGGGACUAUACUGGAUAGUUAUUGCUGCAAAGAUAAAGCUAUACUCCAAUAUUGGAAAUAGCACUCGUUCCAAAUAGCACUCUUUCUAUGUUCUGAGGAAGUUUUGCUUACUUGUUAUAUUUGAAGUUUGACUGGGAGGUUUCCAAGUGGGCGGAGAUAGAGCAUCGGAGCGGGUUCGGCUGAACCCAAUAGUUUUGGUUCGAACUUUGAAUUUGUUUUAAAAUUUUCAUUAAAUAUGUAUAAAUUAUUAAUCUAAAACUCAGUAAUUUCAAACGAUUAGAAUUCCGAACCCAUAAACUUGAAAUCUUGACUCCGUCUGUACAAGUAGGUAGAAUUAAUGUUUAAAGAGCAACAUUGAUCGGUUUAGAAGUUGUUAAAUACCACGGAUCAUUAACAGGGACCAAAAGCCUCAUGAGGCAUUAACCAAUAUGUGCUAUACUGCUUGAGAUCAUACGCACCAAUAUAUUUCAUUCUUUAACUUACUUUUACGUAUUGAACCACAAUUCACAUGGUAUGUUUUUGUUUUAUUAUUUAGUACUCGGUAACUUGGAACUAUAUUAUUAGAUCAUGAGUUAGUAUUAGAGAUCUUUUUCCAUUUUUUUAAAAUUUCAUAGAGGGUUUAGUAAGCAUUUGGACAAUAUUUGGUUGAAGUUGGGAAAAAAGAAUAUUUGAAGUUGAAAUUUUAAAAGUUUAUUGGAACUUCAUGUUUGCUUAAACAUUUCCUCAACGUGUUUAGUUUUACCUGUUUAGCGCAAAGUUCUCAUACACUUUAUAAGCAUAAAACAAUUAAAAUAAAUGGAGGGCCAAUAAUAGCAGAUCGUAAUAAAUGUAGAGACCAAAGGAAAAACGCAAGAAAUAAUUGUUAUUUGUUAAGGAAGGGAGGGUAAAAAUCUUUUAUUGAUAAUAUCGAUUUGGCAUGCCUCUUCAUGGAGGGGUUUAGAGCUUUACAAUGAUAUUCUCUUUUUUGAGAAGUGGGAAUGAAGAAGAAGGAGCAACCCCCUUUUAGGAUUCUUUCUCUUAGUAUUUAUAGCUGUGGACUUUUCCAAUUGGCGUUGGAUGGCUGUGGUCAUGUCGAGGGACGUCCGUCGAUAGUGAAUAGGCCGUGGCCUUGUUGAUCAAGCUAAGUGACCUUCUAAUGCUUAUUAUUAUCAAGUGGUUGUGCCAAUUUCUAGUCCGAAUGGGCUUAAGAGCGAAUUAAUCUUAUUAAUUAUCGCGAGUCGAGUUUUGAUCCAUACAGUUAGUCCCUCCGCUUAUUGAGGCCGAGAACCGGUUGACCUCGAUGAGCGGACUUUACCGAAUGCGAUUAAAUAGAUUCGAAAGAAGGGAUUGGAUAUCGUUUUGGCCGUGACAUGGGAUGGUCGUAGUUGUUCAUGCUUUGCAGAUGGUCGUAGCCGUUUAUACUUAAAGGACGGUCGUGGCUAUUUUUUUACUCAUUGGAAACGGCCGUAGUCGUUUCAUUCCCUGAAGGCGUCUGUAGCCACUUAUGUUUAGGAGACGGCCGUAGCUAUUUACGCGUUCAAAGGAUGGCCAUGGCCAUUUUAUAUUUAGGAGGCGACAAUAACCAUUUAUACUUGAAUGGUGGCCGUAUCCCUUUAUGCUUGGAGGAUGGCCCUAGCCGUUUACAUUUAGGAGACAGCUGUAGCCACUUAUAUUUAGAGGAUGGCCAUAGCCAUUUACAUUCAGGAGGCCAUAGCCUUUUAUACUUGAAAGGUGGACGUAUGAUGUUUUCACCUCGGCAAUGUAUUCCCGCAGGCGGCUGCUGCGGUAUGAGUGCGUUUGACGUGCGUUGCAACGGUGCUCUGUGUAUGGAGGCAUACUGGACGUCCGCCCAACAUACCCAAGUCGUUAAACUCGCUUCGAAGGGGAAGUGUCGAUUGACGACUGCAAAGCUGUUUCGUGAUAUCUCUCAUAAUGACACACAUUAUUGUUGAUUCGAACCGUUUUUCGGUUGGUGAUGCAGUUAAUGAUGGCUUUUGGAAUUUGUGAAAGCCACUUUUGCAGUAUAAAUAACGAGUUAUAUCACUCGUUUCUCACUUUUCAGCAUCUGUUUAAGUAAGAUUUCUGCAUAAGCAACUUCUCUCACUCUUUUUCUUUGUUAAUUUGUGUUGUUCUUUGUCUUCUUUCACUCAAGCUCCAUCUUUUCUCCUUCUUAGGUGAACCUUAUUCACUCAUUGCACGGUAAUCAGUGAUGGCAAGCAGUUCUCACUUAGACCUUAACCUGGCAAUUUUUCCAGCGAUUGAUGGGUUUUCAAUGGUGGCGAGGGCCACCGAAUCGGUGGAUAUCGGUAGGGUCCCAUCGGCGGUUGAUAUUCUCUCUUUGCCCAAUUUCACUCAUUGCACGGUAAUCAGUAAUGGCAAGCAGUUCUCACAUAGAGCUUUCUUCGGCGACUCUUCCGGCGGUCGAUGGGUAUUCUGCGGUGGCGAGGGCCUCCGAAUCGACAGAGGUCGAUAGGAGCCCGUCGACAGUUGAUAUUCUUUCUUUGUCCAGAGGUCUAGCAACUGACUUCACCGCUGAUGGGGGGGGAGGAUCAGGUCAAUGAGGCCCCACUAAUGGGAGAGGUGGGCCUUGCCCAAUUAAGGUAGCAAUGGGAUAUUCCUCGUUUUGCUGAUAUCGUCCUUGCCAGGAGCGAGGAUAGAGUGCACAUCGACUGCCCAGGGUAUUGCGUUUUCUAUGCUUACCCUUUCAGAUUAGGGUUCAAGCUUUCCCUUCCGGCGUUGGUAGCGGAUUUUUGUCCUUAUUAUGAAGUGUGCCCUGGGCAACUCGUCCCUUCUUUCUACAAGCUCUUUGCCAUGCUUACCAAGUAUCCGGAGUUGGCCCGAAGAGAAAUAACGUUGCGGCACGUGCUAACUCUGUACGCCCCUCAGAGGGUCCAUGGUACCAUGAUUCGAAUGGUCCCUCGUGGGGUCAGGGGUUUGACUACGGAGCUGGACGAUGCGGUCGAUUCUCAUUCUUACGAGAAUUUUUUCUACAUCAGAACCGAGCAUUUGGUGGGGAAUGCCAAGGAAUUCUCAGAGACUUGGAACCAUAGACGUGAGUUUUCUAUUCGUCGGGUUCUGCCAUCCGUUCUUUCUUGUUCUUUUUUCUAAUGGGUAUCAACUUUAUCUUGUGUUUGUAGCUGAGAGGGUACCACCGGCUCCUCUAUCCGACAUUAUGGGUCGAGGCCGUACUUUCUCAGGCAGCGGGGAUUCACACAUGGCCGUCCUUCUAGGAAAGACACGGCCGUAGGGCCGCUUCGGGUGAGUGUUCCAGUUAUUUCAUUGUUCUUGUUCAAUCGUGCUGAGUUUCUCUCCUUUUAAUUAUUUUCUUUUGUUGAUCAGGGGCGGUGCACCGUGUGAGGGCUCCUCAGCUUGCAUUCCGCAGGCUGGGUGCGACCGCUCGGCUGGCUAUGGCACCAAUGCCACAUCCGAUUCUGAGGGCGACUUCAGUCGAGUCGUCAGCGGCACAUUUCCCAGCACAGUCUACGUCUCGGGUCGAGGCGUCUUCAGGGGUUAUUUGCCCCAGGACGGAGUCAUAUUUGAACGAGGAGGAGGAGGAGAGGCCGCAGGUUAGGUGUAGGGUCGCCUUCACGCCUAAGGCAGAGGUGGUACAUUUGGACUCCCCGCCGUCGGAUGCGGCGGAGAAUUAGGCGGUUGUGCCUACCCUUAAGGGCGAAAACACGAUGGGAGCUACCUCGGUCGGCUCAGACCGUAAUGAAACCGUCGCUUCGGCAGCUCAAUCAUCAAUUCCAGCUUUUGAGAUGGAAGGUGGUUGGCCGAUUGAAGAAGGAAGGGACGUCGCGGGAGGGGAGUUUGACUCCGAAUCUGACUUGCAAUCUGAAGAGGUCUGCAUGCUCCAUGAAGGUUUCACCAACGCGAUGGCGCAUGCAGAUGGGCCAUUUCGUUAUGUUGAUAUUCCUACCGAGUAGAACCUGCUACUUAAGGAGGACAAUUUGGUACCUAUAUUUGCGCCCUUGUGCUCGGAGGAGGAGAGCAGUUCGCUGAGGGACGUCUCAGACAUCGUAUUGUUGACUGAGGUGGCCGUGAUGGGUUUUAGGGUACGUGUGGUAAAUUUUUUUUGUUUCUUUUCUUGCCUUUGUUUGCUUCCUAAUUUAACCGCUGCUUUUGUUUUGCAGACCUUUCUUUUGGAGGUAGAGAGCAUGCGCCGAGCCAACGUUCGCUCGGGACUCUUCUUGCGGGCGCUGGAGAAGAAUCGCCGCUACCGGGAAAGCUGUCGCGUCAUGCGCAAGCACCUGAGGAAUGACCCCCCGCAGCCGGGAGAUGGUUGAGGAGUUGGUAAGGUGGGAGCUUCUAGUGCAGCAUGCUCAAAACAGGGUAAACACUCUCGAGGAGCAACUUCAUUGUAACGACGAUGAGAUGGAGGCCGAGAGGAGUGCUGCAGCUGAGAGGGUGUGUCGAAGUUAGGAGGCCCUCGCGGAGGCCUCUGAGGUCUUGAUUAGGCAGGUGGUCAAGUUGGACGAGGAGCUCGAUGCUUCGAGGCGGCAAGCCAGGGAUGCUUCGACGAAGGCUGGGGCGUUGGAGACGGCGGUCCUCGUUCGUGAGAGGGAACCGGAGCUGGUGAGAUCUGUUGCGGCCUUCAGAGUGGGAGGGCUAAAGGAACGCAUUGUCGUAUACGAAUGGGACGCCCAGAUUGCAGUAGAACGUAUUACGGCCUUGAAGGGAGAGAAUCAGCUCCUGAGGGAAUAGGCUGCCUCUUAUGGCCCCGCUCGAGAUCUUUGGUCGUUUGCCAACGUCUAGCUCGACGUGUACAAGAAAUUGUGGAAAGCCGGAGUUGUGCCCGAAACUGUUUAUGAGGGGGCCCGUCAAAAGGCCCGUGAUGCACGUCUCGGCUGUGGUUUCAACCCGGCCAUUACAGGGGCUGAUGAUGGUUCCGAGGGUGCUGAUGGUGGCGCGAGUGGCGUUGAGGGUGGCGCGGGUGGCGAUGAGUGAAAAGUUUUUGUAGAGUUAGUUUUAUUCCAUCUUGUUUUUUGUUGCCGUGUGGAUAAUUUUCUUAGUUCGCCUGUCUUUGCCGUAUGUAAGUGGAAGCGACCUAUUGUAAAUAAGGCUAUGAAUAUAUGUGCAAUUUUGUUUUCCUUUUCUUGUUUCCAAGUUUUUUUUGCACUCAUUCAAGGGGGUUUCACCUUUAGAGUUUUCUGGGGGCAUGUUGAUCUCCCAACAACUUUAGUCGUGAUAACGUCGGUGGCCUUGGCCAUGAUGACGUUGAUGAUCUUGGUCAGUUGGAUGGUUUCGACUAUUAUCGGGUCAUUUUCUUGCCCUAUUCAAAAACUAGGUAGGCUGCUAGCAUCGAUCUCUUUAGCCGUGAUUGACCGCUUUUCGCUUAUCGUUUUCCUUUACUCGGUAUGAGUAAGUUGUAGCCUUUAUUUGGCGAGGGUGGCGUAUAGCCUUACUAGGAGGGUUGCUAGCAUCGAUGGCCUUAGCCGUGAUUGACCUCUUUUCGCUUAUCGUUUUCCUUUAAUUGGUAUGAGUAAGUUGUAGCCGUUAUUUGGCGAGGGUGGCGUAUAGCCUUAGUCCCAGUUCGGCCGUGGUCUAAUUGUUGGCCGUGGCCUUGCAAUUCGACUGGGGCUGAACUUAUCGCGGCCUGAAUCUUAGUUCGAGUUAGGCGUACUUACUUGAUUGGCGAGGGUGCUUAACUUGUCCCUUCGCUCGUAGGGGAACAUGCCCGUCCAAUAGUGAGGGCGCUUGGUCUGAGUCUCGGUUUGUUCUGUAGUUGAAUUUUUGUGCGAGGUCGUGUGGCCUGAGUUGUUGUUCAACAAUAGUUGACCCUUUGCAAUUUUUGUUGUCGAAGGCACGUAUCCUGAGUCUGAUUUCAACUCAUAGUUGAAUUCUUGGGCGAGGGCACAUAGCCUGAGCUGUUGUUCAACUAUAGUUGAACCUCUGUCAUUUUUAUUGUCGAAGGCACGUAGCCUGAGUCUAAGUUCAACACAUAGUUGAAUUCUUGGGCGAAGGCACAUAGCCUGAGUUGUUGUUCAACCGUAGUUGGACCUUUGUCAUUUUUGUCGAAGGCACAUAGCAUGAGUCUCAGUUCAACUCAUAGUUGAAUUCUUGGGAGAAGGCACAUAGCCUGAGUUGUUGUUCAACCCUAGUUGAACCUUUGUCAUUUUAGUUGUCGAAGGCACGUAGCGUGAGUCUUAGUUCAACUCGUAGUUGAAUUCUUGGGUGAAGGCACAUAGCCUGAGUUGUUGUUCAACCGUAGUUGAACCUUUGUAAUUUUUGUUGUCGAAGGCACGCAGCCUGAGCUCAGUUCAACUCAUUGUUUAAUUCUUGGGCGAAGGCACAUAGCCUGAGUUGUUGUUCAACCAUAGUUGAACCUUUGUCAUUUUUGUCGAAGGCACAUAGCCUGGGUCCCAGUUCAACUCAUAGUUGAACUCUUGGGAGAAGGCACAUAGCCUGAGUUGUUGUUCAACCGUAGUUGAACCUUUUGUCUUUCCGCAUGACCCGUUGUGAGCAGGGCGUCGGGUGUUAGGUUUUCGUUUGAGAUCUUGUCCGAUUUGUGUGUAGCCUUCUUGACUAUUUUGUAGAGGUCAUUCUUGUUAUGGAUUUUGGUUUAAGAUGCCUUCGCGCCAUUUUCCGGCAAGGUCCCGUAUCAAGGGGAUGAGGGUAUCUCGCCCGUGGUCUCCUGUAUGGGGAGGGGGGAUCUGCUUCUUCUUAUUCUUUUGCUUUUUGGAGAAUUGGGGAGGGGGGAAGUCGAGGCUUCGGACUCUUGCUGGAGAUUUCGAGUUUCCUUCACUCGAUGCGCUACUUUGGCUCAUUCGAGCUGGUUGUUUUCCCUUCUGGGUGUUUCCUUCCUUUCUUUGGUCUGAGGAUGAACUACGCGAUUCUGCUAUGAAAUUCCCACAGACGACGCCAAAUUGUUUAGCUCAAAGUUCUCAUAUACUUUAUAAGCAUAAAACAACUAAAAUAAAUGGAGGGCCAACCAUAGCAGAUCGUAAUAAAUCUAGAGACCAAAGAAAAAACGCAAGAGAUAAUUGUUAUUUGUUAAGGAGGGGAGCGUAAAGAUCUUUUAUUGAUAAUAUCGAUUUGGUAUGCCUCUCCAUGUAGGGGUUCAGAGCCUUACAAUGAUAUUCUCUUCUUUGAGAAGUGGUAAUGAAGAAGAAGGAGCAGCCCCUUUUAGGGUUCUUUCUCUUAGUAUUUAUAGCCGUGGACUUUACCAGCUGGCGUUGGAUGGAUGUGGUCAUGUCGAGGGGAUGCCUGUCGAUAGUGAAUAGGCAGUGGCUUUGUUGAUCAAGCUAAGUGACCUUCUAAUGCUUAUUAUUAUCAAGUGAUUGUGCCAUUUCUAGCCCGAAUGGGCUUAAGAGCGAAUUAAUUUUAUUAAUUAUAGCGAGUCGAGUUUUGACCCAUACAUUACCAUAUAAGAAGGCUGAGACAUAUCAAAUGAAACUUAGUAAAGAGUACAAUAGGAAGAUGAUGUAGGAAGGGAAAAAAAAAGGUUACUCUAUGGACCUUUUGGCCAUAGAUUUUGCCAACAUUUAUUUGGAUUUCUUUUGCCAAAUACAUGUUUGUUCAUAAAUUGUAUUCAUGUUUUAUCAAAUUUCCAAAACCCAAAACCCGGCCCAAAAUAAUACUAUUACAUUUUUUAAAAAUUUCCCCUAACUUUUGCAUUUUAUAAAAAAGUCCAUCAUUUAUUUUUUUGUGACAAUGCUACUUCAUCUUCUCGGUCAUCUGAUAAUGCAUUAUGUAGUCAUUAUAAAAAAUGAUAAUUUUGUACCAAAUUUAUCUAUGUUCAUGACUAUGAUUUGAAAUAAUAUAAUGAAUGUUAUUGAUGAAGGUAAUUUUGGAUAUUUGUGAUAGUUUUUAGAACUUGUAAGUACAAAUGAUGUUUCAUAUUUUUUCAAAAAGAAAAAAGAAAAAGUGAAAUAUAUUUUGAAAAUGAAUGUCCGAACACAUUUUAAUCUUCAAACCAAACUUUACCCAAAUUAAAUUUUUCAAAACAAAUUUGAAAAUCUAUGGCCAAACGCUAGCUAGUAGCUACAACUUCACAACACUGUACGAAAACACCAUGCUCAAAUCCAGUUGAGUAACAACUAGCGAAUUCCUGGUUACAGAUAAAAGGUAAGACAGCUACUGAUAUACAGAUAGGUUUCCUUAUUAGGUCCCUUCAAGAUUCAGUAACGCCUACCACCAGACGUUGACAUUAGGAUCCGAUUUGGCUUCUUCCCCCUCUUCCCUGCAGCAUCAUUUGAUUUAGACGCAUUGGGACCUUCAACAGCUUUUGCUUUGGACGUUACGUUUGCAAAGGACAGGGUUCCAGAACUCCUUGUUCCUGAGAGAACUGAAGUCCACAGGUUAUGAGCACUAAUCCGACAUAAGCAAAACGAAACAAUAGCAUGUUUACAGCAAAUUGUGAUGAAACAUGAUGAAGAGGAAUUGAGAUUAUAGUAGAUAUUCAAUCUCAAAAGUCAACUAUGAGAAUUAAAAAGAUACCAGAUGCAACCGUAGAAUCACGUCUGGGCUCAUCCGUCUUCAGCGCUGGAGGAUCACAUCCAGCGGCAAAACCAAGCCUAGCAACAUUGGAGAACAGCUGCUUGCCUCCAGGAACCAGGGAGCUUGAUGAUGUAACAGUCGUACUUGUACUUCCCAAAGCUUAUCACAAGUACAAACACAAGAACAAUCAUUUCAAGUAACGGCAUAACGGCUAGCACAUAGGUAAAGCAAUAUUGUAAGAACUUCAAAACAAAGGCCAAAUCUACCUAGGUUUUUGCAAUCAAGAAGAAGAGAUAAACAGUUAAUAGCGUCGGUGUCAAUACCGCACAAGGCAGAAGUCAAACUUCUGAAAGAUCCACCAGUAUUCAAGCUCAAUUUAGUUCCGACAGUAACCAUUUUCUAUAACGAUUUGAGUCACAUAAUUACUAGCAAGAAAGUGAUUGUAUAUGUUGAGACAUAAUAAGUAAAUAAAGUAUGUUCUUUCUAAUAGAAGCUUUUAGAUCAAGUCUCAUCGCGCCCAUUAACAUAAAUGAAUUUCACGUGCUUGGUCCGUGAAAUUGAAUCAAAUAGUAAGGGUCGAGUUGAAGAGACAAUUAAAUAAAGAAAAGUGUUAUCUCUCUAAUAGCUUAAACUUUUUGUUUUUUAUAAGAUAGGUCACACACUUCAACAAUGUUCACAAAUUAAGCACUUUAUUAGAUGAAGAUUAUGCACUUAAAGGAAUAUAGUUGUCUAAUAACCAACCAAGUAAUGGUAUGCUCAUCUUCCACUUAUAUAAAGACAGGGAAAUUAGCAGAUAUACUACGGGAUGGUUAAAAUUCAAAUCACGUAAGAAGAGACAUAAAACCCACUUACAUAAAUAGCAAUUUUUGACGUACCUUCGAAGUCAUCGCUAGUGAAAUUAGGCUGUUCUGUGUAAGAAGGUCCUGCAAAGCUAAAAGGCAAAGGCUCUAAGUGCAUGCCAAUGGCUUCAGCUUUAACUUUUUCACGCAGUUCCUGGAAAAAGAAAAAUAUCAUAUUUGAAGAGUUUCUCAAAAAAAAAAAAAAGGAAUCAUCCAAACCAAGUUUCUUAUUAAAUCGUGUGCACUGUCAACUUGGGGUAUCAUGAGAGCGUAAUUGAUGCUGAGAAGAAAGAGAUGUGAGCAGAGCAUUAACAAGCUGUUUUUCAAUAUAAGAUAUCCAAACCACUACAACGACCUCAUUCCAAUCUAGCCAAGAAAAGGGAUGGCAAUGGGGCAGGGCCACAUAUAGCUGAGUAAAGGGAUGGCAAUGAUGUAGUCCCCGUUAAGUUAGUUUUUCUUCUCUUUCACCUCUUUACUUAUUUUUCUUCUCAUCAUUUUCUUUUUAGAUCAUUUUGAUUUUUUUUUUUAUAUAUAAGAUGCGAGAGCAUCUCUAGAGGCUUUAUAAGUCAUCUCUUGGGCCCAACUGUCCAUCUUAGUUUGGGUUAAAAGUAGGAUGGAUUAGGGACUUCCUAGUAUAAAACAAUCAGUUAAGGACUGGCUUAAUGGUUUUACUUGUCAAUCUUAUUGUGAACCAGAGCAAUUCCGAUGCAUUUUUAGCUUAUAACAUAUAUGUUGAUCUUAAGCGUUCUUAUUUUACUAUAAGAAAAUUAAUCUUAUAACACAAAAAGGAUCUAGUUACAUACUAAAGGUAGACUGUGGAAUACUACUCAUUUUCUCCCUACAAAGUCACUUCACUGAUCUUCAGCAGGUGUUAUUUAUAUCCUGUACUUGAAUAUUUUAGCACUUUCCAUUCACUCUGGGAUUUUCUAAGCAUCAUAAACCCGUGAUGCUAAUCCAUUCAAUUGCACAAGAACAGAAAAAUCAACUGAAAUUCGGAUGAGAAGCAUGGGGCACAAACCUUCCUAGCUAGCCACUUCCUUUGUUUUUCCCUACUUUUGAUGUCCUCCAUAAAUGGAGAAAGUGCAUCCACGGGCAAUAUCUUGCUGAGAUCAAUUUCACAGAGCUGAAAAUUACAAGCGAAAAUAAUUAGAGAGAACCAAACAAUUAAUGAAGUAAAGUCAACACACUUCCAGAAAUAAGCAUCACAGCAAGUACCUGAAACGUUGUUGUCAAAGAAAAAUGACUUAAGAAGCGGUAGCGCCUUCUCAUGGCCUCAGACUGCGUCACAGACUCCAUUUGUAAUAUCUUCCCACUAAUUCUGCAUCCAAAACUUCCUCUUCUAAGUGGUGGCAUAAUAACAAACGGCAUAUGUUAUUUUCAGGUAAGCAUGGUAUUUACCACCCUUUAGCCUCUGUCCCUCCCACUGGUAAACCUAUUCCCUCUCUCAGCUCAUGGCACAGUUCACCUUACCCACCUACCCUAAAAUAAAAGAAACCUGUCACAGCAAGCGGCAACUCUGUGCCUUUUCUAACUCCCACCUAUCCAUCCUUUACAUUGUCAUAGCAAAUCCAUCCUUCCUAUGGCCUUCGCAAGCCAAAGGAAAUCGCCAUCCCCAACCCUUCAGGUCAGUUUACCAGCAGCACCUACAGUUCCUCUAGAAUAUGUCCAAAUUAUAUGACUCCCUUACCCAAAUUCAUUUUGAAUCACGGUCAGGGAACUGAAUAUGAAGCUAACUACCUUCUGUUACAUAGGUGAGAGAAGGUAAAGUGGGUGAAAUAGGAUUUAAGCUGAAACUUUGAGGAGGGGACUCUCCCCUUCAUGUCAUGUGUAAAGCCCUCUUUUCCUUUUUAUGCAACUUAGAUAAAUUGGUCUAAUAAUCUCCACUUCAUAUUUUGGGAAAAGGGGCCUUAUAAAAGAUGAUACAUAAAAAGGUAACCUUUAAGGGGCUGGAGGGACAUUAACACAAACCUCACUGUUCUUACCCGCAAGAAGAACAUAGGGUGAGUAACAUUCAUCUUUCCCCCAAUGUGACCUAAGUUGUGAUAGAUUCACCAGUUCCUUGGUUGUGCCAAACUCAUAACCGGUCUAAGAUUUGGUCUAUAGAUGAACCAAAAUUUGACGAAGGAUUGCACAAGCUACGUAUGGUGAAUAUUAAGAAUAAACUUGAGCAAAAUAAUUAACCACUAAAAAGGAAAAAAGAGCCAAGAAAAGAGGGAAAAGAAAGGGAGGACCACAUUGACUGUUGACACUACCAGCCGGCCACUCUGUUCUCGCCUGCUUUGCCGAAACAUUCCUUCAUUGUUGCAGAAUUUCUCCCCUCAGUGCCCCUUAUAAUUCAUACUCUCACACCCUUUGAGACCCCUAGCACACCAUAGCCCUGUGCAAACUCCUCUGCAUCCCAAGCUUAGCAUAUCCCCUGCUCCUUUCCCAGUCACUAUUCACUAUCUCUGUCCCUCCCUAGAACUUGUUGUAACCAUUUUUCUUCCUAUGAUUCAGAUGCAUCACGUCCUUCCUUUGCUUGCCGAGAUCAUCAACACCCCCCCCCCCCCUUUCACACAGCACCUCUUCCAGAAUCCCUUUCUGAAUUAACUAUUCUCUGAUGAAAAGUGAGAAUUGAGAUUUAAUCUGUUUGUUGGAUUGCCCAGCAAAAGAAGGUUUUUCGAAGUGUACCUCCAAACUUUGUCCAGUAGAUCACGUGUCAAAAUAGAGCUAGGUUUUAGUAGCCAAUCACCAAGGACCAUCCGGAACAGAAGACAUCUAUCAAGGACGAAACUGAAACCCCAGAAGAAUAGGCACGAAAUAGCAACUUCCAUCAAGGAGUAAAUUAAUCCACAUAAGAAAUUCAUUCAAUCUGAUCGUGGCCUCCUUACAAAUGACGGUAAAGUAAAAACAACCUAAAUGUAUCAAAACUGAUUUUGAUGGGUCUUCAGGUGUGCAGUUCCUAUUGAAACCAACUAAAAUAGACACAAUAAAACAGAGAUCCGUUUCAUCGAUGUCAAUGAGGAAUGAACAAUCAAAAAAACAAAACAGAAACCCCUUUGCCACCUAUUACUGGAAAAUACAGCAUAACUUACUGUAAGAAUAUAAUUAGCUUUCAAACCUGUUAGGAAGACUACCAUAGCCACCGUAGUAACGCAAAAGACACUUCAUGUUCAGCGGAUGAAGGAUAAGGUGCUGACCAUCAACUGCCUGAAAUAAUCAGGAAAACAUAAAACAUGUAUAAAGCUGAGCAUUACAAAUCUCUCACAGACAACAAAAAGAAAAAGGAAAGAUAUUCACUUAACAGAAAUGUUAUGCUUAGUUUGAGUUGACAAAAGAAUUUUUUUGAUAAGGUAAUAACUUUUAUUAAAAAAGGGCAGAAGAGCCCGUAUACAAGAGGUAUACCCAAAAAGUAGAAAGCCUUACAAUAAGACAUGGUUUUCUACGAAUGACACCCAAUCUUCCGUACAAAUAGGAACAUCAUGGGCGCACCAAAACUAAAUAAGGGAAAAGAGGCUACUCAAGAGGACAAGAUCUUUUUUCUACACCAUCAAAAGCUAUAUUCCUCUCAGUCCACAUAACCCACAUGAGUGCUAAUGGAGCAACAUUCCAUGCCUUGCAUCUUCUCCUCCGUCUUCUGAAGGUCCAACUAAACAUGGUGUCUUUUACCGUGCCCGACAUCACCUACGCAGUACCAAACCAUCUAAAAAUUUCCCCGCGCAAAUAGGAAGCUAUCCAGCAAUGUAAGAGAAGGUGAUUCACAUCUUCUCCCGACUCUUUGUGUAUGAAGCACCGGCCAACACAGGUGAUCUUCCUUUUUCUCAAAUUCUCCACCGUUAAUAUCACCCCUCUAGUAGCUAGCCAAGUAAAGACACACACUUUUCUGGGCACUCUAGGAAUCCACACUGAAUUAUGUGGGAAGACCGGCUCAUCCCUAUUAAGAAGCUUCUCAUAGUAGGACCUAACCGAAAAAUACCAUUUUCCCCGGCAUCCCAUCUCCAUGCAUCAAGACUAUCUUGUGAGACUCUUUGGUUAUGAAGCAUUUCUAGCAAGUUUUGAAAUUCUUCCACCUCCCAGUCUUGCAAGUUCCUUCUAAACCUGACAUCCCAUUCCACUUCUUCUCCUUGAAGAUUCUACAAUCGACACAAUCAAUGGAUGGGCAGCUUCUUUUGGCUUGAAAUAUUGUACAUGUUCGGGAAAGCGAUCCUCAUAGCGUUGUCUACGCUCCCAAAAACUAAUCCGCCUCCCAUCCCCCACCCUAAAUGUGAUGUUCUCCUUAAAGUUAUCCCACUCCUUUAAUAUGAUCCUCCAUAAUCCGCACCCAUAAGGAAGUGAGAUAUUUUGUCCUCAAACCUUCCCCNNNNNNNNNNNNNNNNNNNNNNNNNNNNNNNNNNNNNNNNNNNNNNNNNNNNNNNNNNNNNNNNNNNNNNNNNNNNNNNNNNNNNNNNNNNNNNNNNNNNNNNNNNNNNNNNNNNNNNNNNNNNNNNNNNNNNNNNNNNNNNNNNNNNNNNNNNNNNNNNNNNNNNNNNNNNNNNNNNNNNNNNNNCCCAAAGUCCCGUACUUCUCCGCAAUAACCCCUCUCCAAAGGGUAUCCAUCUCUAAACCAAAACUCCAUAGCCAUUUUCCUAGUAGAGCCUUAUUAAAGACUCUUAGGUCUUUAAUCCCAAGCCCACCCCAGCAUUUCGGUGUAGUAACAAUCUUCCUAUUGACCAAGUGAAAAUUUUUCUCCCCAUUUGCACCAUCCCAUAGAAAGUCCCUUUAAAGUUUUUCUAACUUGCAUGCAACGUUAGCUGGGGCAUGCAACAAGGACAUGAAAAUAAGUGCGAAUGCUGGAAAGAGUGCUCUUAAUUAGCACUUCCUUUCCCUCUUUUUUGAGUUGACAAAAGAAAUUGAGGCAGCAACAUUAUCAAAUGUUAUGAUUAGCUUACGACAAGAUUAUCCUAAGAUGCAUUAAGGAGUUACCGCGGAGCUAAAAGGAAGAAGCAAGCGGAAGCAAAAGAAAGCACGAGAAAUGACCCCAGGCAAUUAAUUGGACCAUUGGAAGAAGAGGCAUAAGAGAACCUUUGAAGGUGUCAAUAACACACAUUCACAAGUGGAAAGUCUGUCAUUCUUUUCCGUCUAUUUUUGAAUCCAAAGCAUUCAAGUUUCUAUGAAUGAUCAGAUGACCUUCAUGGAAAACAAUAUCUUUGUAUGGUACAUCUAUAUUUUUGCAUUCAUGGGCUUUCCGUUUCUGUGUGAAAUCCAUCACUAGGUUCGACAACAUACAAUUUUAUCAACUACAUGCGUUGAUAUAUCAAAAACCUAAUAGCACACAAAAUCAAGAACGGAAUUUUUUUUGAGGAAAAUGGCUUUACCCCACUUUGCCUGAUGUAUUUAAGUAAGGGACACUAUCUAUAUCUAUAUCUAUAUGUAGCAGAAGCUAAAACCCCACUGAAGAACUUGUUCAUGAAAAGGUAGAUUCAACAGAAUGAAAUCAAUUGCUUCAAAACAACAAUAAAGUCUAAAACUUGCUCCAAGUCAUCCCAACCACCAGCAACAAACCGAGUGCCUGAAAACACCGAAAAGACAUCUCUUAUAUACCUCCUUUCAAUUCAACAAUGUUAUGAAGCUCAGGUGAGGGAUAAGUACCAUGCAAACAGAAAAGAAUCAAAUAUCCAACAGAAAUAGUGAUCUUAGAGACCAAGGUUCAAAUUCCAAAAAAAAAUAAAAAAAACUAUGGAUUCUUUUCCAUCUGCUAAAACUUGAUGGACAUGGUUACUGCGUACUUGUGUUGGGUAGGUCCUCGGUAAAAUAGGUCACACCAAGCUGGAUAUGGCACCAUCAUUAUAAGAAAAUAGUGAUCUUUAGCUAUUUCAUUGUACCUGCCAAGCACAGAUGAUCUUACUACUUUUGUUGUUCAGUAUGCCACAGUCGAAGAAAUAGGUUAUUUUCCUCUUGCAAGAUAUAAUCAUCUCAUGAGUUAACGUUUAGUAUGAGUUGAGCUCAAGGUCCAUUUGUUUAGUGAUGUAUCAGAGCUAGAUUCAUCCCUAUUCUUUGUUACUCAAUAGUGACUACCAUGCUAUGGUGUCUACUCUCCAAAUGUCCAGCCUUGACGUAAGGGCAGGACCGCAGGAAAAAGGGGGGAGGGGGUUAAGUGUCUCGUAUUUGUAAAAAAAAUUGGUUGAUGCCUCUUUAUAUAUUUUUGGGUAAGCCUCACCUCAUGAGUUAGCUUUAGGGGUGACGAGGUGAGUUCGGCCAGAUGUCCAUUUUCUUAACAAUACACAUGAUGCAUCUAAUGUAAUACACAAGUACUUGCAUAAGAAAGACAAUGUAAUAAUUAAGAUGUUCUUUUUUUUAGAAGGAUUAAGAUAUUCUUUUGAAAAUAUGACAAGUUUUGAAUUGAGAUAAUCCCUCGGGAAUAUGGCAGUUUGAAUUCCACAUACUUACAGAAAAUAAAUACUCACAAAAAGGUUAUUUAAUCAUUCCUCCCCUAUGUAUAUGGUACCAAAAAACAUGAUCCGCAAUUAAAUUCACCUGGUAGAAACUGUAGGAAUUGAUCUCUUCUUUGUCCGUAACGCCACUAUUGUCUUUCUGUAGGCUCUUAUUAUUGUCAUAUAAGGUCAACGAAGAUCCAACACAAUCUCCUACUGAUUCAGCAUCUGCAGCUUGAAUAAGCUGAGAGUCCCUCGCUGCCCUAUGGAGAGUUGAUUUCUCCUGUGAUACCGGCUUAUCAGCGGGAUGACUGGAUGGCAUUUCUGGAGUAGAUUGACCAGCACACGGGGUCUUAAAACUUUCUGGUGACAGAGAUCCACUAGGACACUUUCCCAAAUAAUUGUCUCUGCUAGUGUUGUUGUUUUUGACAGCAAUGUGUUGCUCAUUCCAGUACUUCUUCCUCUGCUCCAAUUGUUCCAUUGCGGCACAGACAAAGGGAAGUUUCUCCAUGUCAUCAACUAGGCCUGAAUCUGCUCUAGCUAACCAACUAUCAAGAUCAGACAUUGCCUCUCGGACAGAAAGGUCGACAUCUGAAGUAAAUGUGAACUUAGAAAAGGACUUCUGAACCUCCUCUGUAGCACCAGUGCCAUCAUUAUUUUUCAAAGAUGAAGUAAAUGAAUCCUUGUGGCGGGUCAAAAGGACAAACUCUACGGCAUCACCAACACGAUGUUGCUUAACGUUCUCAAUUUGGAUGGUGUACAAAUCCUUCGAAGAUAUCAUCAUAAAGCACAAGGGACAUUUCUUCUUGAAAUCGUUUUUAUGCUCGUCGUCUUCAUCGAUCAUUAAAUAUUGCAUAACACAAGGGAAACAAAAGAUAUGACCACAUGAUGUUAUCUGAGGACACAAAGGAUCCUCUAAGCAUAUUGGGCAUUGCACAUGAAAUGGAGUGGAAUAUCUCACACAAACAAUAUCCUCCCAUUGUAAAAUUUUGUCCGGGUCCAUUGAGUUAGGCGUGUAAUUGCCUGAAUCCAACAAAACAAACUUGUAAUUUGCUUGGAGAAACAAGUCUUUGUUGUAAGGCUUUCUCUUCAUGUAUCUCCUUGGAGGAGGCGCCCUAGCUUGUGGACGAGAAAUGGGAUUAUAAUGAAAAUUCAGCAAGUGGUUGCCACUAACCAUCUGGGUUCUUCUUGGAGCUGAGCGUGUUGAAAUUCCUUGAGGACUAUUGGAGCCAAAAUGGUCGGGUCUUCUGGAAGGAUCAAUGGUCCCAGCUAAUUUCCCUGGUUCAUACAGUGAGAUUCUACCAUUUUUGGGACGUCCCAAACUUCUGAAACCAUCUUGACUGGUACUGAAGUUGUUCACCUGCAGUAUUUUGAAGAGCGCAAAUCAUCAAGUAACCGGCAAUGGAAUGAACAAAUAAGCAGUUAAAAAAAAAAAGAUCAUGACAUUUAGCGUCUGAGGGGUGCAUUUGUGAAAGAGCUACAUAAUUAAAUGGUUUAAGAGGAAGUUGCAAAAUGCAAAAUUUUACCUUUUUGGAAGAUCCACCAGUAGCAUGUGAUUUAGUAGGAGCCAUGUUUCCUGAGAAAACAAAAGCUAAAGCAUGAUAUGGAGAAAACAUCUACAUUGGGCAAGCUGAAGAGUACUAUGAUAGAGGUACUCAUUCCCUUGAAAAACAAACCGAGGAAAAGGAAAAGGAAAACUCAACUGAAAAAGAGGUAUGACGCAAGACAAAUGCAACAAUAUGACAUUAUAACAUAGGCAGAGUUGAAUUAGGUAAAAGAGCAUAACACCUGAGAAGUUGUCGGAGGAAAUUGAGGGAGAGUCGCCGAGGGGGCGAGAGGGUUCUUGUUGCUGUUUGGAUCCAUGAUUGGAGUUAGGGUUUGGAGAGCUUGGGGAAGAAGAAGAGGAAGCCGUAUGAUUGUCGCUAUGGGCAGACAAGAUGGACAUGAAAUUCUAACAGAGAUUUCCUGGGAAAUUAUAGAGAGCGGGGGUUACUGCAGUUGAUCUUUUCGGGUUUUAGUCUCCGAAGACCCCAAAUAUAUAAGACCGGGGGUGGGGUGGUUGCCGGGGGGAGGGGGAGAAUAGGCAAAAAUGUCCUUCAGCCAUUCCAACAGUUUAGUUAAUAAAUACAUUACUUCUAACAUUGCAUUAACUAGUACAAAAUAGUUCUUUUAGUUAUGGUCUCAAGUUAAUUCUUAUUGGUUAUAGUUUAAACACUUCUUUUGUUUUUCUCCCCUUGAUUAUAAAUCCUUGUUAUGAAUUUUGAAUUGUCUUAAAAGAUUUCUAAGAUAUCAUUUAAUUGGGGCAAGUGCACAGAUAGUCAUUCUUAGUGAUGUUAUUUAAAGAUUAGCCUGUACUUAUUUUGUCUUGAAAUUUUAAACUAAAAAUCUUACUUUUAGGAUAUUUUUUUCCCAAAAAUUUGAAUUGAAAAAAUUGAAAUACAGGACGCACUGAAUAAUUCUUCAAAAACUGAAAUACGACCCACCAUGUGCUUUGAUUAUGGACAUAGAGAUCAGGUGGACGAGAAAAAGAGGAAUAUGUAUGAUAUACCUAGGGUCAAGUGGGGUGCAUUGACUAAUGACAAGGCCUAGGAGUUGGGAGGAAAAGUUGUUGGCAAUGGGGACGGGGAGGAGUAGCGGGGACGCGAGUUGUAUGUGGUCUAUGAUAGAAAAUUGCAUUAGAAAGGCGGCGAGAGAGGUGUUAGGGGUCUCAAAGGGUUUUCUGGUGGCCAUAAGGGGACUCGAGGUGGACCGAAGAGGUUCAAGGGAAAGUGAAAGCCAAGAAAGCGGCAUAUUUGAGGCUAAUAAAGAUUAUAGACUAGGGGCAGAAGAGUGUUAACGCGGAGAGGUAUAAGACGGCUAGGAAUGAGGUUAAGUUGGCGGUUAUUACGGCUAAGACCGCGGCAUUUAAUCGUUUAUAUGAAUAAAUUGGCAACAAAGGUGGGGACAAGAAGUUGUACAUGCUAGCGAAGGUGAUGGAGCGGAAUAUCAGGAUCUGGACCAAGUGAGAUGCAUAAAAAAUGAGGAAGGAAGAGUUUUAUUAGAGGGGCACAGAUUAGGCAGAGAUGGCAGCCUUACUUCCAUAAACUCUUGAAUAAAGUGGGAGAUAGGGGCAUUAUGCUAAGGCAGUUGGAAUACUCGGAGCGGCAGAGAGAUUUUAGGUAUCAUAGACGCAUUCGAGUGGGGGGAUGUUGUAGGGGCUAUGCGCAGGAUGAGUAGGGGUAGAGCGACUGGGUCGGAUGAGAUCCUGGUAGAAUUCUAGAAGAGCGUGCAUAAGGAGGGCUUAGAAUGGCUUGAUAGGUAGUUUAAUGUCAUUUUUAGGACGAAAAAGAUGCCCGGAGAGUAAAGGUGAGUACGAUGAUCCUGUUGUACAAUAAUAAGGGGGAUGUCCAAAACUAUAACAAUUAUAGGGGUAUCAAGUUGUUAAGCUAUAAUAUAAAAGUGUGGGAGGGGGGGACUAAAGGGAGUUUUGGAAGAUGUGUAUCCAUUUUCGGGAACCAGUUCGAUUUCAUGUCGGGAUGAUCGACUAUUAAGGCCAUUCACAUUGUGAGGAUAUUGGUGGAGCAAUAUAGAGUGGUAAAGAAGGAUUUGCGUAUGGUGUUCAUUGACCUGGAGAAAGCCUGUAAUAGAGCCCCAAUAGAGGUUCUAUGGAGAUGUUUAGAGGUAAGAGAAGUGCUUGUAGCGUAUAUUAGAGUGAUUCAGAACAUGUAUGAUGGUGUUAAGACACGAGUUAGCACGGCAUAAAGAGACUCUGACUACUUUCCAGUUGAGAUGGGAUUGCAUCAGGGAUCAGCACUUAGACCAUUUUUGUAUUCCCUGGCGAUGGAUUUUUUGACGCGUCACAUUCAAGGGGGGGGGGGGCCUUAGUGUUUGUUAUUUGGGGGGGACAUAGCCCUACGGUGAAGAAGGAUUUGCAUAUGGUGUUCAUUGACCUGGAAAAAGCUUAUGACAAAGUUCGGUUCUAUUGAGAUGUUUGGAGGCUAGAUGAGUGCUUGUAGCAUAUAUUAGAGUGAUUCGAGAGAGAUAUGAUGGGGCUAAGACACGGAUUAGGACAACAGGAGGAGACUUGAACUACUUUUCGGUUAAGAUAAGGUUGCACCAGGGAUCAUCACUUAGCCCGUUUUUAUUUUUCCUAGCAGUGGAUUCUUUGACGUAUCACAUUUAAGGGGGAGGGUGCCUUGGUACUUGUUAUUUGCAGAGGGCAUAGUCUUGAUUGAUGAGACGCGAGGUGGCGUUAACAAGAGGCUGGAGGUCUAGAGACAUACUCUAGAGUCUAAGGGUUUCAAGCUGAGCAGGACCAUGACAGAAUACUUGGAGUGCAAGUUCAGCGGUGUUGUCGAGGAGGCGGACGGAGAUGUGAGACUCACUACGCAUGUCAUUCCCAAGAGAGAAAGUUUCAAGUGUCUAUGAUUUAUAAUUCAGAAGGAUGAGGAGAUAGAUGAGGAUGUAACACACCAUAUCGGAGCAAAGUGGAUGAAGUGAAGGCUCGCUUCCGGUGUCUUAUAUGAUAAAAGUGUGCCAUUGAGACUUAAGGGUAAGUUCUAUAAGGUAGUGGUUAGAUCGACUAUGUUGAAUGGGGCAGAGAAUUGUCCAGUCAAAAACUCCCAUGCCCAGCAGUUGCAAGUAGCAAAAAUGAGGAUGUUGAGAUGGAUGUUGGGGCAUAUUAGGUUGGAUAGAAUUAGGAAUUACGUUAUUCAGGACAAUGUAGAAAUGGCCCUUGUGGAGGCAAAGAUGCGUGAGGCAAGGUUGAGAUGGUUCGGGUAUGUUAAGAGGAGAAGCAUAGAUGCCCUAGUCAGGAGAUGUGAGAGGUUGGCAUUGAGAGACGAGAUGAGGGGUGGAGGUAGGCCAAAGAAGUCUUGGGGAGAGGUGAUCGGGCGGGAAAUGACACAACUUGAGCUGACCGAGGACAUGACCCUAGAUAGAAGGGUGUGGAGGAUGUAGAUUAGGAUAAAAAGUUAGUAGAUAGUCGUACACUUCCCUUUGUCUUCUAGUUCGGUAGUAUUAGUGCUAGUACGAUACUUUUUUUCCUUAGUUUGCUAUAUUCACAUGUCUUGUUCCGUUAUUACUUGCCAUCGGUCAUUCCGUAGUUUACUAGCAGUACUUCGUUCAUAUUCUCGUUUGUUGCCUUGGAUUUAGUUUUUAAAUGUAUUAUCGUGUUAUUACUUAUUAUCGGUACCCCUUUCAUAUUUUUUAUCGCUAUCUUCGAUUUACUUUUCUAAUUAUUUAUCUCGCUAUUGCUUGCUAUCAGGGCUUCCUUCGCCUUCUUUAGUCGAGGGUCAAUCGAAAACAAUCUCUCUGCCCUUCUAGGGUAGAGGUAAGGCUGCGUACAUCCUACCCUCCCCAGA
rnacentral:lncRNA from 1 species